UACGUAGGGUGCAAGCGUUAAUCGGAAUUACUGGGCGUAAAGCGUGCGCAGGCGGUUUUGUAAGUCUGUCGUGAAAUCCCCGGGCUCAACCUGGGAAUUGCGAUGGAGACUGCAAGGCUAGAAUCUGGUAGAGGGGGGUAGAAUUCCACGUGUAGCAGUGAAAUGCGUAGAGAUGUGGAGGAACACCGAUGGCGAAGGCAGCCCCCUGGGUCAAGAUUGACGCUCAUGCACGAAAGCGUGGGGAGCAAACAGG
rnacentral:rRNA from 1 species